rnacentral:lncRNA from 1 species
ACUCUCACUUCCUGCCACCUUCGAAUCAAGAUGUAGAACUCUCAGCUCCUCGUACAGCACCAUGUCUGUCUUCAUGUUGCCAUGAUGUAAUGGACUGAACCUCUGAAACUGAUGGACUUCAUAGACGGACUUUGUAGACGACAAUGUCGAAUCGCGGUGUCAGAGGCUGAACAGCUGGAUCCUGUGUGGAAAAUGCCCAGCCUCUGCUCUGAGAGCCCUGUGCGCCAGAGUGGAAGAGACCCUGACUGAAGAUAUACCCACAGGACAUGGCACCCCAGUUCAGAAGAAUCAGGUAACAGAAAUGUAGGCCAACAUGAAGGACAUCACCCAACAUAGCCACAGCCUUCUGUAAGUCACACAGAGGCAGGCCAACCAUAGAUGUCUGGUCUGGGUGGCUGCAAGGCUCAGCCACUGAGCCAGGCUCUAGGGAUCAUCAAGAAACCCAGUGAGACCAGCUCUGGGCCAUAGAACCCGGAUGGCCUCCACCGUUCUCCUUCAGUCUAUUAAAAGCCUCGAGUCCCCUGCCA